GACGAACGCUGGCGGCGUGCUUAACACAUGCAAGUCGAACGGUAAGGCCCUUCGGGGUACACGAGUGGCGAACGGGUGAGUAACACGUGGGUGAUCUGCCCUGCACUUCGGGAUAAGCCUGGGAAACUGGGUCUAAUACCGGAUAGGACCACUGCCUGCAUGGGUGGUGGUGGAAAGCUUUUGCGGUGUGGGAGGGGCCCGCGGCCUAUCAGCUUGUUGGUGGGGUGAUGGCCUACCAAGGCGACGACGGGUAGCCGGCCUGAGAGGGUGACCGGCCACACUGGGACUGAGAUACGGCCCAGACUACUACGGGAGGCAGCAGUGGGGAAUAUUGCACAAUGGGCGCAAGCCUGAUGCAGCGACGCCGCGUGAGGGAUGACGGCCUUCGGGUUGUAAACCUCUUUCAGCACCGACGAAGCGCAAGUGACGGUAGGUGCAGAAGAAGGACCGGCCAACUACGUGCCAGCAGCCGCUGUAA
rnacentral:rRNA from 1 species